rnacentral:rRNA from 1 species
CGCUAGCCCUUUGAUGAACACAUGCAAGUCGAGGGGCAGCAUGAAGUCUUUUUGCAAACUUUGAUGGCGACCGGCGCACGGGUGAGUAACACGUAUCCAACCUGCCUUCCACUCGGGAAUAGCCUUUCGAAAGAAAGAUUAAUGUCCGAUGGUACUGGUUUCUCGCAUGAGAGACUUUUUAAAGAAUUUCGGUGGAAGAUGGGGAUGCGUUCCAUUAGGCAGUUGGCGGGGUAACGGCCCACCAAACCGACGAUGGAUAGGGGUUCUGAGAGGAAGGUCCCCCACAUUGGAACUGAGACACGGUCCAAACUCCUACGGGAGGCAGCAGUGAGGAAUAUUGGUCAAUGGACGAGAGUCUGAACCAGCCAAGUAGCGUGAAGGAUGACUGCCCUAUGGGUUGUAAACUUCUUUUAUACGGGAAUAAAGUGAAGCACGUGUGCUUUUUUGUAUGUACCGUAUGAAUAAGGAUCGGCUAACUCCGUGCCAGCAGCCGCGGUAAUACGGAGGAUCCGAGCGUUAUCCGGAUUUAUUGGGUUUAAAGGGAGCGUAGGCGGAAGUUUAAGUCAGUUGUGAAAGUUUGCGGCUCAACCGUAAAAUUGCAGUUGAUACUGGAUUUCUUGAGUGCGGUAUAGGUAGGCGGAAUUCGUGGUGUAGCGGUGAAAUGCUUAGAUAUCACGAAGAACUCCGAUUG